CUGUGGAGCAGCAUUCCAAAUUCCAGACACAAGGCUGGAGUGCGCACAAGCUGCUCAUCCCCACGACUGGGUCGGCUGUUGAACUCCAUUGAGCUGAUCACGAGGCAAUAAUGGAUCCUCUUCAGUCAUCAUGUCCUUCCCACCUGCCGUGUUCCUUCCGACCAAGUUGAAUUAUGAGGCAGUGGCCCGACCUGAAUCAGUCCUCCCUUGUCUUUUACUUCCAUCUCCGGUCGAAACCUAAACAAGCAUCUCCAUGGACUAAUAAUAUUUCUGGGCAUUGAGAUGCACACAAGGUGUUCGAUCCAGGUAGCCAUUACAGUCACCAACAUGAUGUGUUGGGCCCCAGAAAGAUGGGAAGCAAUCUCUUCUAGUUUCGAUGUCAGAUCUUAGAGUGUAGUUGAAGUCUCACUUCAGAACAACAGGAAUGGAGUUAUCAAGAAAAAUAGAAUCGAUAUCUUCGACUCACUCUCUGUUUGCAAGGGUACAGAUCGAAAAGGAUUCCUUGCUACAACUUGGCAUCUCACAGUCUUGAGAGAGACCAGUGGACCAUCUCCGCCGGGCGUGCUGGGGAGCAUGUUAGGUGGGACAUAUUAAAGAGUGAAGAGAUCCUUUAAACUAGUGUUCUCUUCCUAUCUUCUACUGUACUGGUGGAAUCAGAGUGCGGUGGAGGUGUAAAAGAUGAAUCCCAUGUUACAGCAGUUCUAAAGGUAUCUAAUCUAUGGCUUUGUGUCUCA